AUAAAUUAGUAAUCGCUACAGAAAAACAGAACAAAUUCAGGGCCGUAGUUAGACGCGAUAAUUGGGGGGGGGGGGAUUUUGUAUAUUCAUAUAUUCAUGUUCACACACAGUAAAAACAAUUGCUUUCAAAGGAAAUCCGUCGGGCAGAACACGAAUAUAUGAAUAUCCCCCCAAUUAUCGGUCUAGCUACGGCCCUGAACAAAUUGCAGUAAAUAACAACAAACUACAGAUAAGCGGAAGUGGGACACUUUUUGUAUUAACCAAAGAGUUUCCCCGGAGUCACAUAAUUGAUUUACAUUAUGUUUCUACUUUGCAAGUAACAUAGAAAAAAAGUUGUGUACAAUAGACCUUAUUCAUAAAUCGUGAUCGAGGCCUCGUAUCCUAGGAAACGGGAAAAAAAACGCGGGAAAACAAGCGAAAGCUGCUUGAGAAGCCAAAUUUAGACGCCAUUGUGUAGAUUUUAAUCACAGUUUAAUGGCUUGUUUCUUGUUGUUUAUUUUGAUUUUUGUGUGUGUUGUAAGAUUUUGUGCUCACAACGAAAGCUACGUAUAAACGAUUAUAGUAAAAAAACGACCGGUUUUUGUCCCGUUUUGUGUGUGGAAAGUCUAAAAAUAUGACAACGUAGCGGUGGUGUUUAUUCAGAAGCGAAAAAACAGUACUUUACUGAGAUUUUAACGUUACUACAUCCGUAAAAAAUCAAGACAACUAUGGAAUGUAAGUUUAUUUUAUAAUUUGAUAUGAGUAUGAAAGAAAACAAGAGUUCAAAAAUUACAAGAAAACGUCAAAUGUUAUUGAUUCGCAUGGAAAAAUUAUGAACUGUGUCUGGGCUCGAAGACAUUCUGCAAGCAGCUUACAAGUUUAAAAGGUAAAAGAUACAAUACCUGAGUGAGUUGUAAUCUUAUUUCUUCAAUAAUAGUUUGAUAUUUCGUACGAUUUUGGUGUUGUAGACGUUUUGUGGCCUUGUAGGCCCUUGUUGGUUAUUUGUUUUGGCCAUACAAACUACAACAAAAUAAAAGUUUCCUUUUCCGAUUGACCCCAGCAUCUUUUACGUUAAAGGACAUUGGCAACCAAAAAUUUUUAUUGCUUAUAUCUGUUAGGUAUACUAGUCGAGGACCUGUAUAUGAUUUGUAUGCAUUUCAUUUAGGACAGAUAAUCUCAACUGUUUUAGGGCAAGUUGAACAUGACGGUCAACAUGGUAACGCUGCCCGAACCCCAAUCCGGGACGAAACGUUCGAAACUGACCACACCCAAAAACGACGCUUUCGCCAUACUGCUAUCUACAAAACCAUAAAAGCUUUGGCUAUUCUGAGGUGCUUAUAUGGUUCAGAGAUGUUACUUUUGGGCGUGAUCAUUGG